rnacentral:rRNA from 1 species
AAUAUUGGACAAUGGGGACAACCCUGAUCCAGCCAUGCCGCGUGUGUGAAGAAGGUCUUCGGAUUGUAAAGCACUUUAAGUUGGGAGGAAGGGCUUUAGGUUAAUACCCUGAAGUUUUGACGUUACCAACAGAAUAAGCCCCGGCUAACUAUGUGCCAGCAGCCGCGGUAAUACAGAGGGUGCAAGCGUUAAUCGGAAUUACUGGGCGUAAAGCACGCGUAGGUGGUUCAGUAAGAUGGGUGUGAAAUACCCGGGCUUAACCAGGGAGCUGCUUUCAUAACUGCUGAGCUAGAGUACGGUAGAGGGUAGUGGAAUUACCUGUGUAGCGGUGAAAUGCGUAGAUAUAGGAAGGAACACCAGUGGCGAAGGCGACUACCUGGACUGAUACUGACACUGAGGUGCGAAAGCGUGGGGAGCAAAC